ensembl:lncRNA
AUGCUGAAGAUGUCUCUGAGACUCCCCCGGGGCCUUCAAAUAAGCACCAGCGGGAGAUCAUUUGUUUAUGCAUCUCAACAGGUCCAAGGCCAGCGGUUUAACAUACGCUUCUGGCAUGUGUGCGCUGAGAUGCUGGACCAGAGGAGGACAGACAUGCUGUCUCUCCACUACUCACAGUUUGCAUUCAUGCUGUCAAUGUACCAGACCAGGCAAUCUGAACCAGUUGGUCUGAAAACAGUGUAUCUGGAGUGUAAAAGGGAUCAACAAGUAUAUGGACAAAUCCACAACAAUGUUAGCCAUGCCCAGCAAAUCUGCAUUCAUGCUCUCAACAUACCAGACUGGCCCUGUGGCGAUUGUAACUGAGAACAGAAUGUUCCUGCUACACGGAUUAGUCGACUUGACAAUUUCAGGGAAGACUUGUAAGAAUAAAUGUGAGUGAGCUGUACA